rnacentral:rRNA from 1 species
CGGACGGGUGAGUAACGCGUGAGCAACCUACCUUUCAGAGGGGGAUAACGUUUGGAAACGAACGCUAAUACCGCAUGAUAUUAUUGGGCAGCAUUGCCUGAUAAUCAAAGGAGCAAUCCGCUGAAAGAUGGGCUCGCGUCCGAUUAGGUAGUUGGCGGGGUAACGGCCCACCAAGCCGACGAUCGGUAGCCGGACUGAGAGGUUGAACGGCCACAUUGGGACUGAGACACGGCCCAGACUCCUACGGAAGGCAGCAG